CGUGGACAUACAGUGGAAUUAGAUUACCAAGCCCCGGCUGCCAGUCCAGAAGCAGAGUCGCUCUUAGAUCCACCCCCGCUGGGCGACAAAUACCGAGACAACAUGGUCUUCCUCCGUCCCAGACGUACGGUAGCGUCGUACUCUCCUAUUCGGUUAAAAAUCUCACGGUUGCCGUUUUAAAAUGAAUCCGUCUCGAGGUUGUCUCAGGAAAACGAGCGCUGUCGUCCCUGGGUGGGCUCGAACCACCAACCUUUCGGUUAACAGCCGAACGCGCUAACCGAUUGCGCCACAGAGACCCAGCUAGCAAACUCCCCGUGCGAUGUGUACAGAUUUCCGCGGCCGCGGAGGCUCUCGCCGCCCAGGGCGUCGCCGCGCCAGCCCCGCGGAGGAGCGCGCGGAGGCGGCGGCGGGAGGGGCCGAGGCUGCGGGCGGCCCCAGCGCGGGCGCGGGAGGGGAGAGGCCGAGCCCGCGGCCGCGCAGCCGGAGCGGCGGGGUCCCCUGUGGGGGCGAAGCGCGCCCCCGCGGGCGGCGCGGGCCCCGACGCGAGCUCGGGAGCCCGCCCCGGCUGGGGUGCGACCGCCUUCCCGCGCCGGCCGGGGGGCGCGGAGGGGCGCACCGUGCGCGGCUGCGCGGGCCGCGUGGGGGCACCGCCGGGGGAGCGCGACCCCGAGCAGGCCGCCCUGGGUCCGCCGGGGAGAGCUGGGGAGAAGGGGUCGCGGUCAGGCCGGGAAGAGAAGAGCCAAGUGCUGUGUGGGCUUGAAGCAUGGGGGCUCGGGGCGUGUGUUAGGCCCCAAACUUUCGGGCUGUUUCUCAACCUUUGUGUGUGCCCCCCCCCCCCCCCCGCGGCUCCCCGCCCCAGCACCACUGGCCACUGUUAGGUUUUAAUUCCACAGAUACACCGUGUACCUGAAUUUGCCGAACGUUUAUCUGUGCUUGCUCCUUAAAAAGAAAGGUAAGAUUUUUUCCCCCUCCCAAGAGCCAACUUCUGCCCGCUUUGAGGGAAUACGGCCUCCGAUGACAACGCAGGGUUUAGGGGACAUCAGAAGGGGCUUCGUGGAGGGUGUGGCCACUAAGAUAAGCCUUUAAGUUCGAAAUGGUCCCUGAAGGCGUCCCUCUUUCCCCGACUUCUGAAUUGAGCCCGCUGAAAUCGAGGAUGCCGCAGUAGCCCGGAAGGAGGGCGGCCGGAGCCAGACCCCGACCCGGGCGAGGAAAGCGCUUCCCGGCUGCCGUUUUGCUUCUGGACAGCCCAGUCGCUGGAGCUCAGGGGGACCGCCGCCUCCCUCCUCGCCCUACAAAAUGGGGGAACUCGCUCCAGCGCUCCACGUGGUAAAUCCAGUCCUUGUGUGUUGCGUGUUUCCAUCCGAUUGGACCCAGACCCACCCCUCCUCCUCGGUCUUUUUCUUACCCCCUUUUUAAAAGUGCACAGUUCGGCGACAUUAAGGACAUCUAUAUUGCUGUGCAACUGUCACCACUCUCCUUCUGCAGAACCUUGUCAUCUUCCUCAAGGAGGCUCUGUACCCAUUAAACACUACGUCCUCAUUCCCCUCUUCCCCCGGACCCUGUCAACUACCCUUCCACUUUCUGGUUCUGCCAAUUCGACUAUUCUGGGUAUCUCACGUGAGUGGAAUCAGACGGCAUUUGUCUUUUUGUGCCGGCUUAUUUCACUUGGCAUAAUGUCUUCAGUUCAUACAUGUUCUAGUACCUGUCAGAAUUUCAUUCCUUUCUAAGGCUGAAUCAUAUUCCAUUGUAUGACUACACCACAUUUUCUUUUUUUUUUUUUUAAAGAUUUUAUUUAUUUAUUUGAGAGAGAGAAUGAGAUAGAGAGAGAGCACAUGAGGGGGGGAGGGUCAGAAGGAGAAGCAGACUACCUGCCGAGCAGGAAGCCCGAUGCGGGACUCGAUCCCGGGACUCCAGGAUCAUGACCUGAGCUGAAGGCAGUCGCUUAACCAACUGAGCCACCCAGGCGCCCUACACCACAUUUUCUUUACUCAUUCAUGUGUCAGUGGACACUUGGGUGGCUUCCCCCUUUUGGUUAUUGUGAAUAAUGCUGCAGUGAUCAUGGAUGUGCAAAUAUCUCUUUGAGAUCUUGCCCUCAAUUCUUUUGGGUGUAUCCCUAGAAGUAUAAUUGAGGAAUCAUAGGGUAAUUCUAUUUUUAAAUUUUUUGAGGAGCCAUCCUACCAUUUUCCACAACAGCUGCACCAUUUAACAUUCCCACCAACAAGGGUUUCUGUUUCUCCACAUCCUCACCAACCUUCCUUCCUUUCUUUUUUUUCUUUUUGUAGUUAUCCUAAUGGGUGUGAAGUGUUAUCUCAUGUGGUUUUGAUUUGCAGUUCCCUAACGAUUAGUGAUGUUGACCAUCUUUUCUGAACCCUUCUUUUGAAUCUGGAUUCUAUGACCAAUCUUCUACUUGGUUCCUCCUAGCAAGAGCCAGCUCUGCUUCACUGAGGAGGAAGCGGAGAGGGACCAAGGGCAGCUUCCGAUAAAGAGCAGAGAGAAGGGGGCAAAGUGGAGCCCGCAGUUGAGCCCGAGCUGUGCCAGAAGAGGAGAUGAGGGGAAAUCUUCUGAGUAGGACCAUCCGGAGAUUCUGGUUGUCAGGAGGUUCUUGCUCAUCUGGGCUGGGCAACUUUUACGGUCAGUUAUGUUUAUCCUGGCUCUGUAGGGUUAUUUAUGUGUGUGUUGCCUGUGAGUGGCCAAAGGUGAAGAAGGAAUUGAUGGACUCCACCUUGUACAUAUUGGAACGGAUGUUUUUGGAACUGCGUUUGUAAAAGUUAACUUAAAAUGAUGCUAAUUUAACAGAAUUUUUCAUUUGCGUUUUCAGUUUCUUCUUAAGAACUAUGGGAAUUCUUAUUUAAGCAUUUAAAUAAUUAUCUCUUGUCUGUGUGUGUGAUUGCUCUUAAAAACACGAGAUCUUUCAGAUGUAUAAGGAAUAGAACUUUCUAUAAUUCCAUUCUAUUUUUAUUUUGAUUCUUAUUCUGCUGGUGCCAAAACCACAAUCUCAGUUAAUUCAGGCAUUUCUCUGCUUCCCUGGAGUUGUUUCCGAGGGCUGACACUUUGGAGGAUGGUCAUUUGUCUGGUCCUUGAGUCACAUGCACACACAGAUUGCUGAGGAGGCAAUUUUGCUCCUAUUGCAGACCCCACAGCUCUCCUGUGCAUCCACUGAGGGAUGGGAAUCUCUUAUAAAAUUGACGUUGGUGCAUCAGCCAUUCCUUAAAGUCAUUCCUGGCACAGUGCCCUCUGCUUAUAGGACCUGUUCAUGUCCCCCACAAAUUCACAUGUUAAAAUCUAAUCUCCAAUGUGAUGGUUUUGGGAGGCUUUGGGAGGUAUUUGGGUGAACUCUUAUGAAUAGGAUUAGUGAUUAGUGCCCUUUUAAGAAGAGGCCAGAGAGCUAGCUCAAUCUUUUCCCACCAUGUGAGGAUACAACAAGAGGUCAGCGGUCUGCAACCCAGAAGAAGGCUCUCACCUAGACCUGACCAUGCUAGCACCCUGAUCUGAGACUUCCAGCCUCCGGAACUGUGAGAACAAAAAGAAAGAAAAAGAGAUAACACCAGAAUACUGUCACCAGCAUGUUACUGUCACACAGGGCUGAUGGGAGCAAACUUGGAAUGUUUUUUCUGGACAGCCGUUUGGUGAUAUAAACAUUAAACAAUGUUUAUACCCUAUUGUUCUAGCAAUUCUGUGUUAGAAAUCUAUCUAAGAAAGCAAACAGAGAUUGUGUGACUCAAGUUUUAAGUAUAUUGUCACAGUAUUAUACAUCAUAGUGAUAAAUAGGAAACAACCUGAAUGUCCCGAAACAGGAGAAAGUGAUAAAUUGUGGUAUAUUUAGAAGGUAGAGUAUUAGUUAUACAGACAUCAGAAAUAAUUUUUUAAAAGAAUAUUAAAAACAUAGAGGCAUGGUAAAGCGUUAAGUAAAAAGUAGGAUAGAGAAACAUAUAAUCGUAAAAAUAUUUUUCAAAGAAGAUUUGACAACAGGGUCCUGAUAAAAAUGUGAAGUUCAAAGGUAAGAUGGGGAACUGUGUAACUCAGAGCUGCAUCGUUCUUUCUACGCGUCUCGCUGGUGGAAACACCGCAUACAUAUCACCUCCCCUAAGCCCAUGGCAACCCUAUGAGGCAGGUACUAGGAUUCUCAUUUUACAGGUGAGGGAAUGUGUGCAGGGAGCAAUGUGCUCAGGUAACAGAGCCAGUGAGUGGUAGGGCCAGGUUUCAGACCUGGAGUCAGACUCCCGCGGCCACGCUUGUAACCUUGACUCACACAUCCUCUCACUGCCUACGGGGCAUGAGCCCGCAGUGUGGUGUGCGUGUGUCCAUGUGUGCGCAGGAUCCGAUAAAUUCUCCACAGCAGUAUUAGUGGUUAUCCCUGGGUGGUGGUGAUUUUUCUUUUCUUCUUUACCCCUUUUCACUAUUUUCUCAAGCAUUUGCAGCAAGCAGUACUUUUAAGGAGCCAGCGAGGAAAUGCGGCAGUUUCCCUAAAUUACAGAUAGAGGGUGGUAGGUGGUUAUUCUCCGCCCGACCUUCUCAGGCUGGGGCCAGAAGAGUGCCCUUGUGAGGUGGGGACUGGGACAGUCCAGUCUGCGUACUUAGGGGGUCUCUGCCAAGCACAGUGUAACCGUCACACUGGCCUCUCUUCUCCAAGUCUUUAACCUCCUGAGAAAAGGUUGUCCGAGGACAUUGUAAACCAUUUCUGUGGGGAGUUUUACAAUGUGUGACUCUUCAGUAAUGAAUAAUCUCUCAUUUAAAAAGAACUGGAGUGCCUGAGAUUUUAGGUAACUUUUAUAUUUCUUCUUAAUGUUUAAAAACACCUUUUUGCGUUAAUUUUAUUUUCUCUUUUACAACGAGUUGUUUUCAUUUGUGAAGUAUAACCCAACCUACAGGAGAAUAUUAAGACUUUUGUAAAUAUAUUAUGAGAUAUUUAAUACAUAUUGGGCUAAAUGACAUUAUGAGAUAUUUAAUACAUAUUGGGCUAAAUGGCAGUCAGCAGAUACUUACUGAAUCCUGUCAGGAACUGGGCUAGAUGCCUCAGGGACCUCCCUUCUGCCCAAGACUCCCUGACACAUCAUUCCUGCCCACAGAUCACUUUAAUCUACUUUGGGAACCGGGAGAUAUAUAAAAACAUUUCAGGCAGUAAGUGCUAACUUGCAUGGCACAGAUGGUAAGUGUUUUAGGAAUCUGAGGUGGGAAUAAUCACUGAGCGGUCAGUAAAGAACCUAUGGAGGAAGUGGGUCUUGGGCUGUCCUUGGUAGGAUCCUUUCAUUGGAGAGGAGAAGGAACAGAGGCAGAGAAGAGAAGAUCAGCCCUUAGGAAGCAGAGGAUUUACAUAGGAUGUGAUGGGACAUAAAGAGAGCUAAUGGGUGACAGAGUAUGGAGGGUCUUAAAUAUCCGGCUAGAAAAUUCACAUUACAAACGAUAUUGUUCAUAAUAGUGGAAAAUUUUUAAUGACCUAAAUACUCAUCAAAGGGACAAUGUCUCCAUGUCUAUGGCAUAUUUAAACAAUGUGCAAUGAGGCUGCCCUGAAAACUUUGAGAAGAGAGACUUGAUAGUGGCCAGGUUUUGAGGAAGCUUCAUCUAGCACGUGAGGAUGGGAGAACUGCUGGAAGUCGGAUGACUAGUUAGGUGACUCUUUCACUAAACCAGAUUUGAAGAGAGGAAGCCUCAUUAGGAUGGGGCCAUGGAAAAUGGAGAGGAGAUGAAAGACAAAGGCUUAAGGAGAGAAGCAAUAGGAUGUCAUUGCUGAACAUGCGUGUUGGAGCUAUUGACUUGCUGCUACGCACCCAAGGCAAAAACUCUGGCUUUGAGGAUUUUACUGUGCCGUGACACCUAAUGAUGGCUUAUGUUGUUGUUUUUUGUUUUUUUAAAGAAAGACGUCCACAAAUCUCCUUACAGGUCUGCCAUAUAAUCGAGGCUUAAUACGGUUUUUCACUACAUGGGCUGUUUAGGGUGCCUUGUUCUAUUGCUGUAGCCCUUACUAACAAGAUGGCCUUUCUGAUUUCUAAUCUAAAUAUUGCUACAUAUUAAAACCCCAUUUCUCAAGUUUAUCUUUUGUGAAGAAGAAUAAUUAGCUAUUCCUGCCAUUUGUACACUUCCACAUGUGUAAAGGAAGGCAUUCUUCAGCUUGGUUUCAUUAUGAUAAAUGGCAGCAACCCCUGUAAUAUUUGUCCUUAAGUCCGAUUUUACAAUAUAAAUUUGCCUGUACGAGCAAGGUGCUUGCACAAGAUAAAAAAUUGGAUUUGUGUAAUGUCCUGGAGACCAACAACCUGGAAAGAAUUUAUUUAUUCAUAUAUUUAUUUGUAUGUUAACUGAGGCUUUACUUUAUGCCCUGAGGAAGACAGAACUGUGACUUCAGGAUGAGAGGGGGUUUCAUAAACACAACAUAAUAAGUAUAAACGUAAAAGAAAGGGUUGAUGUAUUUGAUUAAAUUUAACAUGUAGUAAAACUUAUGUUAAAUGAAUAAGCAAAAAGUAAACAAAUUUUAAAAGCCAUAGACUGAGAAAAGAAUUUUCAACGCAUGUACCCAACAAAACCCUAGUAUCCAGAAUUCAUAAAGAAUGCCUACCAAUUAGUGGAAGAUAAACAACAAAACAUAAAAAUGGGCAAAACAUCAAUGAAGAGAAAAUCCAUAUUGCCAAUAAACUCAUGAGAAGACACUUAACUCUUCUAACAAUCUGGGAACCAGAAUCAUAAUGAGAUGUUAUUUCACACCCAUUAAGUUGGCAGAAUUUAAGAAACUUGACAAACUCAGCUGGUGAGGAUGUGGAGCACUGAUACUUCCAUCUAUUAUGGAUGAGAACGGGUGCACCUGCUCUGGAGAAUGAUUUGUCAGUUUCCUGGUGACCGGAAAGAGACUCAUUCCCUCCAGUGCAGAGCUUCUUUCCUAGAGACAUGUGUACAAGGAUAUAUACAAGACUAUUUGAUCCAAUAUUGUUCCUAAUAUUGAAACAUUUUAAAUGACUCAGAUGCUCAUCUAAAGGACAGUGGAUAAAUAAACAUGGUGUAUUUAGAUAGUGCAAUACUAUAUAGCAGUUUCAAUAAUGGAUUGGACCUUUAUUUACCAAUGUGUAUAAAUCUAAAAAUACAAUGUUGCAGAAAGCAUAGGUAUAGUAGUCCACGUGCCCAUGCAGAUCAAAUAAUACAGAGCAGGUUAUAGUGGAAAGUCAUGGUCUUCCAAGUAUCCUCCCCUCCUUGAACCCAGAAGUCAGAGAAAAUGUUUUCUUUUUUCCUUCCUUCCUUCCUUCCUUCCUUCCUUCCUUCCUUCCUUCCUUCCUUCCUUCCUUCCUUCUUUCCUUCCUUCCUUCCUUCCUUCCUUCCUUCCUUCCUUCCUUCCUUCCUUCCUUCCUUCCAGUUUCUUUACUAAGUUCUUCUUGUGGCUACCUUCAUAACUCUAGACUUUAUGUUGUUAUCUCUAUUAGUUAGCCUCUACUUAUUUAGAAGACUUUGACAUUACCUUUUAACUCUCCAAUAUGAAGAUUUUACUUUGCACUUUCCCAGUCUACCACCCUCUUCCCAGUAUUAAUAUUUAUAUUUGUGGUAGGCAGAAUUUUUAAAUGUAUAAGCACUCCUUUGUGGUUCUCUGAAUGUUCCGUUUUCAUAGCAACCUAUUCUUUUUGUAUGGGUACAACAGGGCUGGGGGGGCCUGUGGUUCAGCCUGUGGAACUUCCACUUAAUGCUCGGCUCUGGGUGUGGCAUCAUCUGCAAUAGCACCCGAUCCUGCAGCGGAGCUCCCCAUUUGUCUGGUAAGCCCAAAGCUUUGCUCACAUAUAAGGCGGGAAGACUGUGUAGCCGAUGUGGCCUUCCACAGCUGUUGUUAUUUUCAGGCAAGGUUUCUCUACCGAGUAGUCUUUGGAUUCAGAGCUCUGGGUAAGAUGGCAAGAAAUGGGCUGUCAGGCUUCAGGAGCCUCCAAAUAAAGACCUCAAGAGGGCUGAAAUAUUCUGUUCAGUAUCUUUGGGUUUGGUUUGGUUUUGCAUGGGGCUAAAUGCUGACGGCUGGCUCUCUGGACGGUGAUGGGUAAGAUGGUGUCGAGGAUAGUUGUCCUAUAAGACGUUCCCAUGUUCUCUCUCUUUUUAGCCCACUUCUUGCUUCUACCCUCUAAACAGCUUCUGACUCUGAGCCCAGAAACAUGUCAAGGUUCUGUCAGGUAGAUCAGCUUCCAGCGUCUCUGCAACAGCCACAGAAAAUUCUAGACGAUGGUUUCUCUUUGAGUUUCAUCAGUCAACUUUUCUUUAUUCUGUCUUGCAGCUUCCAAAGACUUACAGAUGUUUCUCUUUUGUUGGAGUGGCAGAAACUGCUAGCUGAGCACCCAAUAUUCAUAUUACCUUCUUUACUAACAAAACCUCUCUAUUGUUGGAAGUGGCAGCUGAAUAACAUACUUCAGCUUUCCUUGCAGAGAGAAGUGGCCAAUGAAAUGUAAGUGGAAGUCAUUAAGAGAGACUGCCAAAAAAAACCCCACAACUCUUAAAAGAGAUAGACUUGGAGUACCUGGCUGGCUCAGUCAGUAGAGCAUGAGACUGUUGAUCUUAGGGUUGUGAGCUUGAGUCCCACAUUGGGUAUAGAGAUCACUUAAAAAUAAAAAUCUUUUUUUUUUUUUUUAAAGAUUUUAUUUAUUUAUUUGACAGAGAGAGACACAGCGAGAGGGAACACAAGCAGGGGGAGUGGGAGAGGGAGAAGCAGGCUCCCCACAGAGCAGGGAGCCCGAUGCGGGACUCGAUCCCAGGACUCUGGGAUCAUGACCUGAGCCGAAGGCAGUCGCUUAACCAACUGAGCCACCCAGGCGCCCACAAAAAUAAAAAUCUUAAAAAAAAAAAAGAGUGAGACAGACUCAGCCAGCAGUUCUUCCUGUUUAUCUCUCCCCCCCCACCCCCCACUUCUUUUCCUUCCUGUGUGGAAUAGGGCCGUGUUUCCCGUAGCUGCAGCUGCCAUCUUGGCAGGAAAGGCCAAGAACUCUCCCAGACCUCAGGCCUGGCAUAUUUUCAAAUAUUUGCUCCUCCAAAGGAGGAUUAGAUAUUCUUGCCUGGUGCCUUGGGACUGUGGCAGAAAUAUAUUUUCCUGCCUCAUUGUCAGGUUUGGCCGUGUGACUUGCUUUGGCUAAUAAAAUGUGAGUGGGAGAAACCUGCAGAGCAUUGCACGUUUCCACCAGCAUUUUUGCUCUCUUCCCUCUGCCUUUAGAAAGGCACACCCAGGAUAGAGGCUGUUUUUUUAGCCUGGAUACUGUUAUGAGAAGACAUCUAGAGGAGACUGGCAACAUAUAUAGUGAGUUAGAAAUAAACCCUUGUUGGGCACCUGGCCGACUCAGUCCGUAGAGCAUGUGACUCUUGAUCUUGGGGUUGUGAGUUUGAGCCCCAUGCUGGGUGUAGAGAUUACUUAAAGUCUUAAAAAAUAAAUUAACAUCUGUUGUUGUAAGCCACGGAGAUUUUAGGUUUUGUUACUACAAUGUUAUCUAGUGGAAAGUUCGCUUACACAAUCUGUAAUAGGAUAUUAUGUGCUGGAGUUUCAGAGCUGAGGGAAAAGGGUGAAAAGUGCUCACACAUUCUGAAGAGAGACGCUAGCUCAACCUGCAGCCAUUUACCAUGAUUUAGGGAAACCAGUUCUGAAAUUCUGAAAUGGUGACAUUUGGAUCCUCUUGGGAGCAGACCCUGAGGUGAAGUUAUGAGUGCAAGAGGUUUAUUGGGGAGCGAUGGCUGUAACAGAUGAUGGAGGAAACAGGGUUGGACAGAGAGACCCCAGACUUUGAUGGGAAUCUGAGAAAGUAUUGGCCAACCCAGUGGAGACCUCUGGACCAGCAGCUGUCCACGAGAGGUGUGCCACAUUGAACGGAAAUAGCCAGGCCCUAGUGUUCCUGUUUGAGGUUCCACACUGACCCCUCUGCUGGGGAGUCUGUGCAUGUCUAGCCCUUCAAGUGGGUAAUCCUUCUCCAGGUGACCUUCCACUGCUCGGCUUGGUCCCUGUCCCCAGAAGCAGGACAGCUCUGGCCUCUUUCUCCUUAGGUUUCUUGAUGGCGGGCAGUUCUCUGGGUAGGGAUCCCUUUGGGCUCACAACAGCUACCUUCCACAGUGCCCAUUUGGGUCAUGAAAAACCCUAUGCAUCCCUCUUCUUUUUUUUUUUUUUUAAGAUUUUAUUUAUUUAUUUGAGAGAGAGAGAAUGAGAGACAGAGAGCAGGAGAGGGAGGAGGGUCAGAGGGAGAAGCAGACUCCCUGCCAAGCAGGGAGCCCGAUGCGGGACUCGAUCCCGGGACUCCAGGAUCAUGACCUGAGCCGAAGGCAGUCGCUUAACCAACUGAGCCACCCAGGCACCCGCAUCCCUCUUCUUUUUGCCCACAAUCUAAAUUGUGGUCAAAACCAUGUUAUAAACUUUGCCAUCUUAAUCAUCUGUAAAUGUCCAGAUCAGUAGGGUUAACUAUAUUCACAUUGUUGUGCAACAGGAGACCCGUGCAUCUUUCGUCAACAAAUUCCAGAAGCACAGGCUGUUCCCACUGUUGCCCUCAUCCCAUGCCCCUGGCACCAGGCUCUAUGCCUCCCAAACUCAAGAGACACAAUUCAAGCUCUUGCAAGAACCAUCCUGCUUCCUUCUGCCAAUCCUGCAGCAGCUUUAAGCGCAUGUCCUUCUGCGUGUGAGAGGGGCUCCCGCUUCUUCCAGCGGCUUCCUUAAACUUCCUUUCACUUCUUGCUUGAUCUGGGGAGGAAAGCACUCAGCUCCUGUCUCAGGGAGGGAGAAGAGGGGGAAAUGUCUUAGAACUCUUAGGCUAACAUUGCUUCUCAAAGAAAUCUCUGUUCCUGGAUCCCUCAAAAUAGGUUGCAGCCCUGCAGGUGCCCUGGAUUCUCUCUAUAAGAACUUGCUGCCAGAGGGGAGGGGUGGGGGAGAUGAGCAAAGUAGGGGAAGGGGAUUAAGAGGUACACCCCUCCACUUACAAAAUCAAUAAGCCACAGGGAUGAAAAGAAUUAGCCAACAAUAUUGUAAUAACAUUGUAUGGUGACAGACGGUAACUACGCUCGUGGUGGUGAGCAUUACGUCAUGUAUAGAACACCUGAAACUAAUGUAACAUUGUAUGUCAACUAAAUUCCAAUAAAGAGAAAAAAGAAUAAAAGGAAAGAACUUGCUGUCCCACUGUGAAGAGAGCAGUGGGCCUCAGGCCUCCAGCCGUAGCACCUCGAGCAUCUGCUACAGGAUUUGCACCAAGGCCAUGUGCUUCUGGGAGGUUCACCAUGGUGGGAUCACAGUGGACCCUCCAAAACUGAUUCAGAUGAGAAGCAGGCAGCAUUUGGAUGAUGUGUGCUGCCAUGACAGUGGGCAGGCACCAGACAGCGGAGAGGACUUAGCAACAGUACCAGCCAAGUAAGAAAACCGACACAAGCACUUCCUUCCCACCCCCACUUCCCCCCGCAUCUCUCUUUUCCUCUCAGCCUGGGAGCAAGUUAGGGGAGGAAGGCAUGUGGGGGAUGGAGUCCACACCCCCCGCUGCUGGCCUUGGCCCAUGGGGGUCCCCCAUGAACAGCCUCUGAGCCUCUGCUCUUGGGUUUUGCCCCCCACAGUCACUUUCAGCGAGGAGAGAAUGGCUGUCUGGCCUGCACGCCGAGUGCUGAUGUUUGGUGAUGUCUCACAGGGAACAACUGCUUUCACCCUGGAGGGCUUGGGGAAUUCUCUCAGAGGAGGAACAUAAACAAAGCAGGACUUAUCUGACACCGGAGAAGACACUUGGAGGGACAGAUGGCUGAAGUCUGGCUGAGGGAGAAAUCUACUUUGGAGCAGAAUGAGGACGGGCUCUUGAUCAUCAGCAGGUUCCAGAGUCACAGAGUCACUACUGUUGAAUCAUCGGUAUGCCUGUGCUCUCCAGGCUGGCCGCCCCGGUUCUGAGUGGGGAUGGACAGUGCUGGGCAGCCUGCGGUGAGGACUGAUCCAUUUUCCAGAGAAGGCAUGCUGCCGAGAAUUCACACCUGGCGAAUUCAACUUUGCCAUUGAAACAGGCAAUUCCGUUCCUCUUUCCUUUCUUGGCCCUCAAUUCCCUGCUUAGAAAGCGAGAGGGGUUGGCAGGGAGGUUUUGUUCUAGGGACCAGGGGAAGGUGUCCAGAUCUUUCUGGACAAAAAAGACACCGCUGUUUAUCUCUGAUGUAGUCUGUGGAAGUUACUCUUGCUCUCAGGAGCUUCUAGAGCAGAAGGGGGAGCUGCGCUCCUCACCGCGCAGGCUGAGGAGAAUUGCUGUUGGGAACAUGCUGCCUCUACUCUCUUUUGUUGUGCCAACGGCUGUUACAGUCCUUUGUGUACCCAUUUGUCUUCUCCACUGGACUUCAAAGAUCUUAGAAGGAGAAACUCCAUCUUGUUUAUCUCCAAAUACCCACAGUCACAUGCUUAGUGAGUGUUUUUUGAGUGUAUGAAUGGACGAGUAGGUAGGUGAAUGAGUAGGAACCGUCAUAAAAAAGUUGAGAAUCAAGUGGAAAGAUGGAGCCACAGAAUCUUCUAGGUAAAAUAUUUUUCAAAGAUUAGGGAUAUUCUGAUAUGUUGAGUUGACGGAGUAGAGAAUUUUAAAUGCAGCUUCAUUUGUCCAGCCAUUUAGGAGAAUUUACAAAUGUUUCAUUAGGCUGUAAUGUUACGUCAGCGAGGACCACACUUACCGCCAGCAGCUGGCGCCCAGCAAGCACACAGUAUGACGCUAAAGGAAAUAGUCUCGUCUCUUCUCUUUUGGGGGUUAGCCCAACCAGUAACCCUGACAGGAAGGAAGACACAGCCAAUUCAAUCAACGCGCACACAGCAUCUUCUUCUGGAAGUACUUUGCCAAGGACUGGGUGAACGUGAGAAUAAGUCAUGGGUUCUCUCUUUCGGGAGUUUUCGGAGGUAGAUACAUUUGCAUCCAACAAGGCAGAGUGUGAUAAGUACUAUAAUAGAAGCAGAAAUGCUAAGUGGAUCAGGAGAGGAGGAAUUUAUUAAAGCUUAUAGGAUGUGGGAGGACUUCACGGCAAUGAGUUCUGGUGGGAUAGGUAGGAUUUUGUCAGGGAGAAGUGGGAGGAGGAUCAUUUGCGUGACUACAGUGCAAGGUGCACAGGAUGAGAGGGUGAGGGUCAAGGUGGGAAAUUGCCUCCAAGAUGGCGCCCAAUGAUUCCCACCUCCUGGGACUCGUGCUCUUUUGGAGUCCUCCCGGAGUUGUAUGGGGGUUGGUCUGUGUGACCAAUGGAAGAUGGAGGAAGUGAUGGUGUGUGGCUUCUAAGAGUGCGUCACAGAAGAUGUUGCCACUUCCCUGCUGCUUUCUGGAUUGCCUGCUCUGGGGGAAGCCAGCUGCCUCCGCACGAGACCACACGGAAGCCUAGGGAGAGACCCGCAUAGGGAAGGAACAGAAGUCUCCUGCCAAGAGCCAGCACCAACCUGCCCUCCGUGUGAAUGAGCUGUCUUGAAAGUUGAUCUCCUGGCACUGGGCCAGGGCUUCAGGUGACUGCAGUCCUGGGUGACAUCGUGACUGAAACUUACAGAAGACCUUGAGCCAGAACUGCUCAGCAGUUUCUGAGCAGUUUCUGACCCACAGUAACUGCAAGAUAACAAGUUUUAUUGAUGCUUUAAGCCUCUGGUUUUGGGGGCAAUUUGUUAGACAGCGAUAGACACAUUGUACAGAAAUGAAGGCUUGGGGAGGAGUUUGGGGGAAGCCUUGAUUUUCAAGGAGCUGUACUUGCAUGCAAUGGGGGCACUGUUGUGUGUGUGUGUGUGUGUGUGUGUGUGUGUUUUAACGUAAAGGAUGAUCAUUCUGAUGCUGUACCUAAUCUAAUUUGGCAAAAGGAGUGCAGGGACAGGACGAUAAUUUAAGAGGCCACCGCAGUAGUCCAGACGAGAGAUGAUGAGCGAGCCUAAAUGGAGGCACUGAGGGGUGCGGGGUGGGGUUGGAAACAGAAAGAGGGGGCGCCUGGGUGGCUCAGUGGGUUAAGCGACUGCCUUCAGCUCAGGUCAUGAUCCCAGAGUCCUGGGAUCGAGUCCCACAUCAGGCUCCCAGCUCAGCGGGGAGCCUGCUUCUCCCUCUGACCCUCUCCGCUCUCAUGCUGUUUCUCUCUCUCUCUCAAAUAAAUAAAUAAAUAAAAUCUUAAAAAAAAAAAAAAGACAAUCAGAGCCUUUAAAAAAAAAGAAACAGAAAGAGGUGCAUCAAUUUCAAUGUGGGGAGUGAGGGUACAGGAGCAGCGGAGGUGACUCCCUGGCUCUGAGCGCAGGAACACGGGGGAGCCGUCAUCUCCUGUCCCCAAAAAGGAAACGCAGACGUGAGCACCGGUUUGGAGGCCGGGAUGCGUGGGAAUAAAGAAGCGGGGGCGUCUGUCUCCUGGAGAGAGCGCUCCCCGUGUUCAGAGCUCCGCGGACGGCUGACCACCAGGCUCGGUCACAGAUCCGGCUGGUUGAGAAAUCUCUCCCUAAAGGACAAGGCUGUUCCAUUUCACAGCACAUCUUCAUCACUGCCAAGUGUUCCCUGGUGACAGGCUCUGCCAUCGGUAUUUUUAGCAUGUGGCCUUUCGCAGCCUGAAGAGCAGCAUCCUCUUCCUGGAGCUCCUUCUCCUGCGGACAGCCAGUGGCCCGCGGAGGAGGCAGCUUCAGCGGGGCCUGACAAGCGAGAGCCUGUCGCAGCGCCAACCUGCUGGGGGAGAGGCCGUCAGACCCCAAGUUUUAGAGAGAGCCUCCAUCUCAUUCCGUUCUGUUCUGCUGCAGACGCCUACCAACUUCAGUGCCAAUCAGCAGCUGAAACAGAAAAAAAGCCUGUCCAUGAAUCCCAAGUGGAAGGAAGUUUCUCAGGCAAUUUCCUUAUAUGACAGUUACAUCAAGCCCGAAGGUAAUACCUGGCCAGGUAAUGUCAGAAACCCACCAGGACCUACGUUUUGCUUUUAUAGGUCCUAGAACAGGCCUGAGCGAAAACCCUUUGGGAUUUGUAACAUGUUCCAUUGCCUCAAAUGGAGCCAGAUUUGGGGCAAAGCAAGAGAGCACUGAGGCAAGCUUGAGAAGGGUGAACGGUUUCUCAGAUGGGGUCUGCAGUCCCUGGCCGAGGCUGGGGUUAUGAGAAUAGAAGGACUGUCCUCCAGACUUGUAAGAGUUCUCUGCAAGAAUUUUAAAAUUGUGUGUUUCAUGGUUAUGGUAAUCUAAACAGAUUAGGAUGAGCAGACUCGGUGCUGACUGUCCCCCUUAUGUAGGAAUAUCAUCUUGCAACCCCGGGCCCCAUAGCCACAAAUGUGUUUAUGAUCAUUUUGAUGCCAAGUGGCAUUUUUAUUUUUUUUUAAAGAUUUUAUUUAUUUAUUUGAGAGAGAGAGAGUGAGAGAGCGAGCACGAGCAGGGGGAGGGGCAGAGGGAGAAAGAGAAGCAGACUCCCUGCUCAGCAGGGAGCCGGAUGCAAAUGCAGGACUCGAUCCCAGGACCCCAGGAUCAUGACCUGAGCCAAAGACAGAUGUUUAACCCACUGAGCCACCCAAGCGCCCCCCAAGUGGCAUUUUUAAAGGUGGUCGCACAGACUAAAGGAAAAGGCGAAAAAUGGAUUUAGUACAGAACAAAGCAUUUGUGUCAAGUGAAGACCAGUAACAUCUUUGUGCCCUGUCAGAACAAAUGUGUAGCGGCCACUCAAGGCAGGAAUGCCAGCAAAGCUGCCAGGGACAGGAAGGGCCACCUUCUUGGUGUGAGGAUCAGGGUUCAGCAAAACAGUAUCCUUUGUCGCUCUGAACUCAUGUGGUCCCUGGAAUUUAGGGGUUUUGAAGAAAAAGAGCCACUCUUCGGGGGAAUAUAAUCACCGCAGCAAUCACCAUCAUCAAAGCAUUUACCUGGUGUGUGCCCUCGGAGCGUCGGUAGGAUUAGUAAUAGGAGGUGGUGGUUGUUUCUCCAUGAGGACUGCAUGGAUGCGGAGAAUGUGUGGGGAUCAGAAGACGACGGUCUUUUGUUAAUGAGGUGAAGGCCCCACAUUAAGUCUACCCUGGGUGGUGUGCAUGGACAUAAGUCUACUCUGGAUGGGCAAUAGCAGGAUUUUCUUCUUGAAGAGGAUUUGGGGAGAACACCCGCCCUGGAACGAGAGGACGAGACUAUACAUGUUGGGUAGUAAUAAGUGCGCAAGGCAAGAGAUCUUCACAGCAGGGUCCUAUACUGCUGUGAAAACUGCCCUGAGCUAAAACCAAAUCACAUGUAUGUGGACAUGUUGGAGGCGGGACGGGGACAGAAGCUCCAGGGGGACCUCAGAAAGAGUCAAAGCACCAGGGAUAACCCCCACCCUCUCCCUUAGCAAAUCCAACUCUUUUUUUAGUUGGGGUCUCUUGGAACUUCAAAGCUUUGGGUACAUUUGAUUCACACACCCAGUUUCCUGGCUGUGAGUGUCUAAAGCUGGUCCUGGGAUGCCUGGAACGUCUGGUACCUCACCUUCCCUUGGGCCUCAGUCUCCCCUCAGGAAUAACCACCUGUGUCCUAUUUCCAUGCAACUUGACUCGUGCACAGAGCUCCCCCACCUACACGAGAAGAUCCUUUAAGCCAUGUGAUUAAUGCAAUUAAUGGUAUGCACUUCUGAGGAUUAAAGGACUUGUGGAUGGAGGCUGUAUACCACACUGCUUUUGAUUCUUCAUUUUCCCCUUAUUAUCUUUAUAUUUUUAUUCUAGUUUUUCCUUCCUGAAUUACUUUUGGCCACAUUAACAGAAACCUGACUGCAGGGGCUUAACCAAAUAAGGUACUUUUUGUUUUUUUGAGAUAGGGUUUGUAAAUGUAAAUGCACACAUUUUAAGUUUACAGUUCAAUGAGUUUUGACAAAGGCACUGUAGCUCCUAAAACCACCCCAUCAAUAUACAAGACAUUUUUGUCACCCUAGAAAAUGAGCUCAUAUUCCUUUCUUGUGAAUCCUGACCCUGUCCCCCAGGCAACCACUGUUCCGAUUUCUCUUACCAUAGCCUCUUUUUGCCUGUUUCUGGAACUUCAUAUAAAUAGAACAAUACAGAGUGUAUUCUUUUGUGACUGACUUCUCUUGCUCAACAUAAUAUUCAUGGGAUUCAUCCGCGUUGCUGAAAGUUUCGGUAGUUCUUUCCUUUUUAUUGCUGAGUAGUAUUCUAUUGAAUAAAUAUACCACAAUUUGUGUAUCCAUUCAUUGGUUGGUAAAUAUUCAGA